AGUUUGAUCAUGGCUCAGAACGAACGCUGGCGGCAUGCCUAACACAUGCAAGUCGAACGAAGCCUUCGGGCUUAGUGGCGCACGGGUGCGUAACGCGUGGGAAUCUGCCCUUGGGUUCGGAAUAACAGUUAGAAAUGACUGCUAAUACCGAAUGAUGUCUUCGGACCAAAGAUUUAUCGCCCAAGGAUGAGCCCGCGUCGGAUUAGCUAGUUGGUGAGGUAAAGGCUCACCAAGGCGACGACCCGUAGCUGGUCUGAGAGGAUGAUCAGCCACACUGGGACUGAGACACGGCCCAGACUCCUACGGGAGGCAGCAGUGGGGAAUAUUGGACAAUGGGCGAAAGCCUGAUCCAGCAAUGCCGCGUGAGUGAUGAAGGCCUUAGGGUUGUAAAGUUCUUUUAGUGGGGAAGAUAAUGACGGUACCCACAGAAAAAGCACCGGCUAACUCCGUG
rnacentral:rRNA from 1 species